UUUUAGAUUUUUUUUUAAAAAUUAUAUAAUUCAAGAUUAAAUUGAAAAAAAUUACGAAAUGUAAGGAUCAAAUAUUGUUUUAUUUCUUAAAAAAUUAAAAAAUACAAAAUCUAUUUAUCCAAUAUGAUGCAUAAAUAAACGCUACCGCUAUUAUCAAAAUAAAAUAACCCCACCCUAGGCCCAAUUGUGAAUGAACCAUUGCGUUGACUCUUCUCGUAGCGGUUCUUGAAAGCUUUGGCUAAGCCAGGUAAAAUUUCCACCAUUCCCUGCUUUUCUUUUCCCUGUAAAUUAUGUUACUUUCUGUUUGAUUCUCUUGUAAAUUUUCCACCAUUCUAUGCUCUACCUUUUUCAUGUCAGGACUUGCCGACCAACAAGUUACUACUGUUUCUUUGGAUAAACCGGUAUUAUUCUCUCUUGAUACUUACCACCUCCUCAAUAAAAAUCUUCUAUCUGGUUUAACAAAACUAGCUUUAAAAUAAACUAUUUUUAUGUCUGGUUUAGUAAGGCUGAUUAAUUCUGUUGCAAUUAAAAAAUUAGUUAUCUUAGCAUUCUUCAAUCUAAAUGGAAAAUCAUGUAGCAAUCUUAGAGCUCUCACUCUGAUAGCAAUUUGAGAAUUUUCUCAAUUACAUAAAUAUGCAAUUUUCAAGUGGAUGAUAUAUGUAGAAAAGCAGAAUUUAGCAAAGUGAACUGAGUUUUCGUUUUAGAACUAAUCUGCAAGUGAACCUUAAGAACUUUUGAUCAUGCACAUUUAAGUUCAACCAUUGAGAACAGGCUCUCAAAUUAUACAAGAACUUCAGGUUCCAUCCUGGGAAAAUUUUUCCCUUUGGUAGUGUACUGAAAUUUUAUCUGUGCAUUCAUUCUUAGAUCUUCUUGUUCAUACUUCGGUUAAUUUUGGCUCUUUCAAUCAAAUUUAUUGUCCAAAGUUGGGAAGAAACUCCCUUCAUCAAUGUAUGGCAACCUCCAUGGAUUCCUCGAUAGCGGAUCAAUUUGUUUUUACAUAGAAUUGUUGUGCAGAAGCCUCUGAGGAAGAAACCAUAUGGAAAGAAAGAAAGAAAAAAAAUAAUUCCGUCACAGUGACUGAGAGAACAGAAUUUGCUGAUUGAAUGUCACGAUCCGGUUCUAAAAAAAAGCGAAAGAGAGAGGAUUUAAACAUCCUUAGUGGGAGUACUAGGCCUAGAAGGAAGGGAAUCGAGAUAGAUACCGAGAACAUGGAGCAAAGAGCUGACAGUGUGGAUUAUAUCUCACAAUUGCCUGAUCAUAUUAUCCAUCAGAUCAUGGGUCGCCUGCGUUGUAAC
rnacentral:lncRNA from 1 species